AUCUUCCGCAAUGGACGAAAGUCUGACGGAGCAACGCCGCGUGUAUGAUGAAGGUCUUCGUAUUGUAAAGUACUGUCUUUGUGGAAGAACGGUCUUCUUGAGAAUAUUGAGGAGACAUGACGGUACCCAAGGCGGAAGCCCCGGCUCACUACGUGCCCGCAUCCGCGGUAAUACGUAGGGGGCAAGCGUUGUCCGGAAUUAUUGGGCGUAAAGGGCGCGUAGGCGGAUAUUUAAGUCCGGUGUGAAAGAUCAGGGCUCAACCCUGAGAGUGCAUCGGAAACUGGGUAUCUUGAGGACAGGAGAGGAAAGUGGAAUUCCACGUGUAGCGGUGAAAUGCGUAGAUAUGUGGAGGAACACCAGUGGCGAAGGCGACUUUCUGGACUGUAACUGACGCUGAGGCGCGAAAGCGUGGGGAGCAAACAGG
rnacentral:rRNA from 1 species